GAUGAAGAACGCAGCAAAAUGCGAUAAGUAAUGUGAAUUGCAGAAUUCAGUGAAUCAUCGAAUCUUUGAACGCACAUUGCGCCCGCUGGUAUUCCGGCGGGCAUGCCUGUUCGAGCGUCAUUUCAACCCUCAAGCCCCCGGGUUUGGUGCUGGGGAUCGGCUCUGCCCUUCUGGGCGGUGCCGCCCCCGAAAUACAUUGGCGGUCUCGCUGCAGCCUCCAUUGCGUAGUAGCUAACACCUCGCAACUGGAACGCGGCGCGGCCAUGCCGUAAAACCCCAACUUCUGAAUGUUGACCUCGGAUCAGGUAGGAAUACCCGCUGAACUUAAGCAUAUCAAUAAGCGGAGGA
rnacentral:misc_RNA from 1 species